ensembl:lncRNA
GGACAUUGGAUGCAAAAAGUUCAUCUUCAAGUUCAUGAAAAGGUUAGUGGGGAGAGUGUCGGCGUUGAACGGGUUAGUGGGGAGAGGGUCGGCGUUGAACAGGUUAGUGGGGAGAGGGUCGGCGUUGAACGGGUUAGUGGGGACAGGGUCGAAGUUGAAAAGGUUAGUGGGGAGAGGGUCGGCGUUGAACGGGUUAGUGGGGAGAGGGUCGGCGUUGAACGGGUUAGUGGGGAGAGGGUCGGCGUUGAACGGGUUACUGGGGACAGGGUCGAAGUUGAAAAGGUUAGUGGGGAGAGGGUCGGCGUUGAACGGGUUAGUGGGGAGAGGGUCGGCGUUGAACGGGUUAGUGGGGAGAGGGUCGGCGUUGAACGGGUUACUGGGGACAGGGUCGAAGUUGAAAAGGUUAGUGGGGAGAGGGUCGGCGUUGAAUGGGUUGGUGGGGAG